rnacentral:rRNA from 1 species
AUGCCACUUCCGACCAGCACCUGGCCUGAUGCCAUGAACUACAUUGUCACAUUAAACUGCAGGGACAAGUUCCCUCAGUUUUCUCUCGACAAAUCCAACAGUACAGGUUCUCCGGCGCGCCAAGUAUUGCUGGCGGCGAUGCCUGCAUCAUGGCCCAUUGAGGAGAUCAUGGCCAUCAGUUGUACUUGGUGGUGCAGACUUGGUAGCGGUGAUAUCUUGGUUCAAUUAUAUAUCAACAAUAGUGCAAUGACUGAAAGAUCAUCAGUUCAAAAUAUAUAUGCAGAAGGAGGUUCAAAGAUUGUCGUGGAGCAAGUUAAAGAGUUCAGUACACUUGCGUCAGUCGUCCAUCAUCUUCUGACAUCUAGUAUCNNNNNNNNNNNNNNNNNNNNNNNNNNNNNNNNNNNNNNNNNNNNNNNNNNNNNNNNNNNNNNNNNNNNGGCGGCGAGGCCCUACCAUCUCCCGGUGAUGACUUGCCGGCACACCCUGCAGAUUCACCUCUCACUCGCACCACGACCGCAGCUUCACUCCCGUGUGCCACCCUCGGCUGCCGCGCCAUGGCCUGCGCUCAGCGGCUGCGGGUGGAGCAGCUGGGUCGAGGAACUUUGCCUCGACAGUACAGCAUCACACUCUGCUGUCGGUCGUGAGAAGAGCUGCGUGCAGGCCACCCCGUGUCCGCCCUCGAUCCAUCUUAGUCAUCUCCCUCUCAUCCUCUCUCUCUCUCUGGUCUGUGUUUCUGUGUGCAGGGAGUUGGAGGAGAUAGAGCAGGGGAGUGGGAGGCCCUUCCAUGGCAAAUUCGUUGGCAUCUUCCAUGGAGAUUGCGACCUCUCUUGAUUUUUGCUUGAGGAUUUCUCCUCUGGAUCUGUCCACUGUAGUUCUUGUAUAGCGGCGUCCUUUUUUCUAGUGUUCCUCAAUGUUGAGGCAUGUGUUUAAUAACCCACUCAUACGAAUUCUAGAAACAAGCUUCAGUACAAGAAAAAUGGGUCGUUCAGUUCAAUUCUGAAUUAUAGGUGUGUGUAAACACAUCCUCCUGACACAGUAACUAAUUAACUAUGAUACCAUGUUCAGACUUCUAUAAAUCCCGAAACUAUGCAGAGUUAGGAUUGUUACUACCUUGUUUCUUACUAUUGAUUCAUUUUUAUACUAUAUUGAGAUGGUACAUGUAGUUGGACAUCUGAAUAUACUGGUGAUUGCUUCUUGCUGCCUCUAUUUUUAUCAUGAUUUGGUGUGUGCACAGCAGGAGUGUUUUUGUUCCUAGAUCAGUUGCUCAACAACAGAAUUGUGUAUCGCACAGUACAUGUAUUACUACUAUGAAGGUUCAGAAAUAAGAACUCAAAGAAGUAUUGACAACAUAGCUACUGUAUAUUCAAGGAGUCGGGUUUUGCUCCUGCAUCAUCUCAUCUCCUCCGUUCAGCAAAAGCCUCGAGAUAAGUUCACACAUAUGGUUUUGUUUCUUUCUAUAAUUCUUGAGUCCAAACUCCUUCGUUUUUUGUUCCUGAGAAAUUAAAUAAACCUGUAGAAGUUUGGGGUAUAAAAUUCUGUAAGUUCGAAAUCGGGAAACUGGUAAGUGCAGACAAAAUUAAAUCUGUCAAAGAAUUAUUGUAGGCAAGUUUAGAAGUUUGGCUUCGUGAGAAAAAAGUAUGAUUUUCUAUCAGUAUUUUGUAUGAUUCAUUUGCCUCAGCUAAAAAUAAAAAAUUAGACAAAAAAUAAUUUUGUUUACUGCCGGUAAUGCUCUCUCCACCCUACUGUCUGUUUUGGUUGAUGAACAAGUACGGGCAAAAUAUCUUGUAUAGGGCAAGUUCUUGUAUUAGUGCCAGGCAAGUUCAAAAAAUAAACCGCGGCAAGUUCAAAAUGAAAAUGUGGCAAAAACAAAAAGGGAGUUCGGAAGUAGGAAUUUGGAUGUAUCUGCCAUUUUUCUUUUUUGUGCUCAGGUUUACAUGAAAAUACACUUUUAGUUUCAGGAAUUGAAGAACUUUUUAGGAAGAAUUAGCCUUUUGAGCUACUGUUGAUGGCUGGCAUUUGUGCCCCGAAGUACGAGUUUGGAAGGCCAGUAAGUUCUACUUCUGGCAUAAGCCAACAGAGCAUCGGUCGAAGAAGGCCGAGGCACCUCGUGCCAGCUCCGGGCAUCACCGGAGUCCCUACCUGUUCUUCCACCGCCCCCGUGCACUCACCGUCGAGCCUAUCCAUGCACAGCUCUAGUAUUGAUGAGCUUCAGGCUUGUCGUUGUUCAUGCAGAUUAAUUCUUUGUUAAUUGCUAUUGCACAUUCAGUAAAUGUAGCCUUUGUCUUUUCAGUGAAGUUUUAUUGUGAAGAUUUUUUAAUGCACAUCGAAACCAGAUUGUCUGCUGUUACAUGUGCAUCAUAUGCGUAUUUUUCCAUCGAGAAACCUCAUCAUAUGUAAAUGUCUUCUAACUCUAGAUUUUGAUGAUGCAAAGUUGUAUCCGUGUACACAUUUCUUAUUUCUAUUGCUCUUGGUUCAAAUGACCAAUUGCUAUAAGUUCCUAUGUGUGUCAGAGAACAAUAGUGUUUGGCCAGAUCAAGAUUUGCACUAGUGGAAUUUUUUUUUUGUACCCUUGUGCGAAAGCACUUUAUUUUCUGAUGAUUAUUAUUAUUGUCAUGUGGGUGUGGUUGAACAUUUGCAGUGCAGGAAAUAGGCCUGUCAUUUUUGUGUUGCGGUGGGUGCUAUGGAUAAUAUGAAAAUGUGC